rnacentral:rRNA from 1 species
UACAGAGGGUGCGAGCGUUAAUCGGAUUUACUGGGCGUAAAGGGCGCGUAGGUGGUCAAGCAAGUAAGAUGUGAAAGCCCUGGGCUUAACCUGGGAAGUGCAUCUUAAACUGCUUAACUAGAGUAUGGUAGAGGGUAGUGGAAUUUCCGGUGUAGCGGUGAAAUGCGUAGAGAUCGGAAGGAACGCCAGUGGUGAAGACGACUACCUGGACCAAUACUGACACUGAGGCGCGAAAGCGUGGGGAUCAAACAGG